AUGAAUCAGAGACUUAAUCUUGAUAUACCUCAGAACAAUACAUUCUUGUUACCACGAGAUGUAUUGGCCGCUAUGGAUCAUUUGAUUGGAAUGAAAUUUGGAACGGGUAUACUUGACGAUGACGAUAUGAAUCACUUGAAAAAUAAAUGUAUUCGUUCAGUUGCGGAUCUGUUACAAGAUCAAUUCGGAUUGGCUCUUGGUCGUUUACAACAUGUAGUUCAAAAAACUAUUCGUAGAGUAUUCUUACGUCAAUCGAAACCGACUCCCCAAACUUUGGUAACUCCAAGCGCGGCCACGCCUACUCCGACGACUAGGCGAGGGGAUGGGGAGGCUAGGUGGGUAGUGGGGAGGCCUCUGGUGGCUACAGAAAGGAGGGGGAGAGUUGGCAUCGAGCCAAUUUGA
rnacentral:rRNA from 1 species